CUGUGGUGCAUUGUAGUUGCAUUGCAUGUUCUGGUGAUACCCGUGCAAUGUUUCCACAGUGCAUCACAG
rnacentral:pre_miRNA from 1 species